UUGAACGCUGGCGGCAGGCCUAACACAUGCAAGUCGAGCGGCAGCGCGGGGCAACCUGGCGGCGAGCGGCGAACGGGUGAGUAACGCGUAGGAAUCUACCCAGUAGCGGGGGAUAGCCCGGGGAAACUCGGAUUAAUCCCGCAUACGCCCUAAGGGGGAAAGCAGGGGAUCUUCGGGCCCUGUACUAUGUGAAGAGCCUGCGUUGGAUUAGCUAGCGGGUAGGGGAAAGGCCCACCAAGGCGACGAUCCAUAACUGGUCUGAGAGGAUGAUCAGUCACAACGGAACUGAGACACGGUCCGGACUCCUACGGGAGGCAGCAGUGGGGAAUAUUGGACAAUGGGGGCAACCCUGAUCCAGCCAUGCCGCGUGUGUGAAGAAGGCCUUCGGGUUGUAAAGCACUUUAAGUGGGGAGAAAGGCUCCAAAGUUAAUACCUUUGGGGAUUGAUGCUACCCACAGAAUAAGCACCGGCUAACUCUGUGCCAGCAGCCGCGGUAA
rnacentral:rRNA from 1 species